GACGGGGGGGGCAAGUGUUCUUCGGAAUGACUGGGCGUAAAGGGCACGUAGGCGGUGAAUCGGGUUGAAAGUGAAAGUCGCCAAAAAGUGGCGGAAUGCUCUCGAAACCAAUUCACUUGAGUGAGACAGAGGAGAGUGGAAUUUCGUGUGUAGGGGUGAAAUGCGCAGAUAUCGGGAAGAACACCCGUGGCGAAGGCGGCUCUCUGGGACGGUACUGACGCUGAGACGCGAAAGCGUGGGGAGCGAACAGG
rnacentral:rRNA from 1 species